ensembl:lincRNA
AUGACAGGAGUGAGCCACCGCGCCCGGACUGUCUCUCUCUUUCUUUCUCUCUCUCUCUCUCUCUGUGCCUAUCUUCUGUCUUACUCUCUUUCUCUGCCUGUCUCUCUCUCUCUUUCUCUCUCUCUCUCUGCCUAUCUAGACUGUCUUACUCUCUCUGCCUGUCUGUCUCUCUCUCUGUCUGUCUCUCUCUCUCCCUGUCUGUUUCUCUACCUCUGUCUCUCUUGCUCUCUCUCUGUCUCUCUUGCUGUUUCUCUCUGUCUCUGUCUCUUUCUCUGUCUGUCUCUCUCUUUCUUUCUCUCUGUCUCUGUCUCUCUCUCCCUCUGCCUGUUUCUCUCACUGUGUCUGUCUUCUGUCUUACUCUCCUUCUCUACCUGUCUGUUUGUCUUUCUCUCCCCCUCUUUGUUUCUCUCUCCCUCUCUAUCUCUCACUCUCUUCGUCUCUCUCUCUGUUUCUCUCUGUCUGUCUCUUUCUCUGUCUCUCUGUCUGUCUGUCUCUCUCUCUGUCUCCCUCCCUCCCUGUCUGUUUCUCUCUCUUUCUCUAUCUCUGUCUCUCUCUCUUUCUGUUUAUCUCUGUCCAUCUCUUUCUCUGUCUCUCUCUUUCUCUGCCUGUCUCUCUCACUGUGUCUGUCUUCUGUCUUACUCUCUUUCUCUGCCUGUCUGUCUCUCUGUCUCUCUCUCUGCCUCCCUUUCUCUCUCUCUCUUUCUGUUUCUCUCUGUCUCUGUCUGUCUCUCUCUGUGUGUCUGUCUGUUUCUCUUUCUCUGUCUCUCUCUCUCUGCCUGUCUCUCUCACUGUGUCUGUCUUCUGUGUUACUCUUUUUCUGCCGGUCUGUCUCUCUCUUUCUCUCUCUCUCUGUCUCUCUCUCUUUGUUUCUCUCUGUCUCUCUCUGUCCGUCUCUGUCUUUCUCUGUCUGUCUCUUUGUCUGUCUGUCUGUAUCUCUCUUUCUCUGUCUCGCUGUCUCUGUCUCUCUCUCUGCCUGUCUGUCUGUCUGUAGGUCUCUCUCUCUCUCCCUGUCUGUUAUUUUCUCUCUCUCUGUUUGCCUGUCUGUUUCUCUGUCUCUGUCUCUCUGUCUGUCUCUCUCUGCCUGUCUCUCUCUGUGUCUGUCUUCUGUCUUACUGUCUUUCUCUGCCUGUCUGUCUGUCUCUCUCUCUCCUUGUCUGUUUCUCUCUCUCUCUGUCUCUGUUUCUCUCUGUCUCCCUCUGUCUGUCUCUGUCUUUCUCUCUCUGUCUCUUUCUCUCUGUCUGUCUCUCUCUUUCUUUCUCUCUGUCCAUCUGUCUCUGUCUCUGUGUGUGUGUCUGCCUUCUGUCUUACUCUCUUUCUCUGCCUGUCUACCUGUCUGUCUGUCUCUCUCUGUCUGUCUCUCUCUCUUUCUGUCUCUGUCUCUUUCUGUUUCUCUCUGUCUCUGUCCAUCUCUUUCUCUGUCUGUGUCUUUAUCUGUCUGUCUCUCUCUCUCUUUCUGUCUUUCUCUCUUUGUGUAUCUUUGUGUCUCUCUGUCUGUCUCUCUCUGUCUCUGUCUUUGUCUCUCUCUCUCUCUCUCUCACCCGCUCUCUGGCUCUCGCUAUCUCCCGCCCUCUCUUUCUUUGCAAAAUAAGUUCAAGUACAUCUAAUCCAAUCCAUUACCACGACCUGAAUUCUUAACUUUAGACAUCCCAGAUUUGAUCUCCCUGCAGAAUACUGUACAGAACUGGCGAGUUGAUUUCUGGACUUGGAUACCUCAUAGAUACUACAUAUUAAUAAAGAUCCAACCAUAAAAUCUGGGGUUGCGUCUCCCUCGACUGUCUCGAAAAAUCGUACCUCUGUUCCCCUAGGAUGCCGGAAGAGUUUUCUCCAUGUGCAUCUGCCCGUGUCCUAAGUGAUCUGUGACCGAGCCCUGUCCGUUCUGUCUCAAAUAUGUAUGUGCAAACACUUCUCUCCAUUUCCACAACUACCCACGGCCCCUUGUGGAACCACUGGCUCUUUGAAAAAAAUCCCAGAAGUGGUUUUGGCUUUUUGGCUAGGAGGCCUAAGCCUGCUGAGAACUUUCCUGCCCAGGAUCCUGUGUGAACAAAAGUGCCUCUGCUGGGAGCUGGGAUCGUCGGGACCAUGCUUGCUAGCGCUGGAUGAGUCUCUGGAAGGACGCAUGGGACUACUCAAAGCUGACCUGUCCCACCGAGGUCAAAUGGAUACCUCUGCAUUGGCCCGAGGCCUCCA